UACAGAGGUCUCAAGCGUUGUUCGGAUUCAUUGGGCGUAAAGGGUGCGUAGGUGGCGCUGUAAGUCGGGUGUGAAAUUUCGGAGCUUAACUCCGAAACUGCAUUCGAUACUGCGGUGCUUGAGGACUGGAGAGGAGACUGGAAUUCAUGGUGUAGCAGUGAAAUGCGUAGAUAUCGGAAGGAACAUCAGUGGCGAAAGCGGCUUCCUGGACCAGAACUGACGAUCAGGCUCGAAAGCGUGGGGAGCAAACAGG
rnacentral:rRNA from 1 species